rnacentral:rRNA from 1 species
GACGAACGCUGGCGGCGUGCUUAACACAUGCAAGUCGAACGGAAAGGCCCUGCUUUUGUGGGGUGCUCGAGUGGCGAACGGGUGAAUAACACGUGAGUAUCCUGCCCUUUACUUUGGGAUAACUUCAGGAAACUGGGGCUAAUACCGGCUAGGAGCUCCUGCUGCAUGGUGGGGGUUGGAAAGUUUCGGCGGUUGGGGAUGUACUCAGGGGUGAUCAGCUAGUUGGUGGGGUAAUGGCCUACCAAGCCGUCGAUCCGUAGCUGGUCUGAGAGGGUGAUCAGUCACACUGGAACUGAGACACGGUCCAGACUCCUACGGGAGGCAGCAGUGGGGAAUAUUGGACGAUGGGCGAAAGCCUGAUCCAGCCAUGCCGCGUGUGUGAAGAAGGUCUUCGGAUUGUAAAGCACUUUAAGUUGGGAGGAAGGGCAGUAAGUUAAUACCUUGCUGUUUUGACGUUACCAACAGAAUAAGCACCGGCUAACUUCGUG